UAGGGAAUCUUCCGCCAUGGACGCAAGUCUGACGGAGCAACGCCGCGUGAGUGAAGAAGGAUUUCGGUUCGUAAAACUCUGUUGUUAGAUAAGAACAGCGCAUAGAGUAACUGUUAUGCGUGUGACGGUAUCCAACCAGAAAGCCACGGCUAACUACGUGCCAGCAGCCGCGGUAAUACGUAGGUGGCUAGCGUUGUCCGGAUUUAUUGGGCGUAAAGUGAGGGCAGGCGGUCAAUUAAGUCUGAGGUGAAUGCCCCCGGGUCAACCGGGGAGGGUCAAUUGAAACUGGUUGACUUGAGUGCAGAAGAGGAGAGUGGAAUUCCAGAUGUGGCGGUGAAAUGCGUAGAUAUAUGGAGGAACACCAGUGGCGAAGGCUACUCUCUGGUCUGUAACUGACGCUGAGGCUCGAAAGCGUGGGUAGCAAACAGG
rnacentral:rRNA from 1 species